rnacentral:rRNA from 1 species
CCGUGCCAGCAGCCGCGGUAAUACGGAGGGUGCGAGCGUUAAUCGGAAUUACUGGGCGUAAAGCGCAUGCAGGUGGUUUGUUAAGUCAGAUGUGAAAGCCCGGGGCUCAACCUCGGAAUUGCAUUUGAAACUGGCAGACUAGAGUACUGUAGAGGGGGGUAGAAUUUCAGGUGUAGCGGUGAAAUGCGUAGAGAUCUGAAGGAAUACCGGUGGCGAAGGCGGCCCCCUGGACAGAUACUGACACUCAGAUGCGAAAGCGUGGGGAGCAAACAGGAUUAGAUACCCUGGUAGUCCACGCCGUAAACGAUGUCUACUUGGAGGUUGUGGCCUUGAGCCGUGGCUUUCGGAGCUAACGCGUUAAGUAGACCGCCUGGGGAGUACGGUCGCAAGAUUAAAACUCAAAUGAAUUGACGGGGGCCCGCACAAGCGGUGGAGCAUGUGGUUUAAUUCGAUGCAACGCGAAGAACCUUACCUACUCUUGACAUCCAGAGAACUUUCCAGAGAUGGAUUGGUGCCUUCGGGAACUCUGAGACAGGUGCUGCAUGGCUGUCGUCAGCUCGUGUUGUGAAAUGUUGGGUUAAGUCCCGCAACGAGCGCAACCCUUAUCCUUGUUUGCCAGCGAGUAAUGUCGGGAACUCCAGGGAGACUGCCGGUGAUAAACCGGAGGAAGGUGGGGACGACGUCAAGUCAUCAUGGCCCUUACGAGUAGGGCUACACACGUGCUACAAUGGCGCAUACAGAGGGCGGCCAACUUGCGAAAGUGAGCGAAUCCCAAAAAGUGCGUCGUAGUCCGGAUUGGAGUCUGCAACUCGACUCCAUGAAGUCGGAAUCGCUAGUAAUCGUGGAUCAGAAUGCCACGGUGAAUACGUUCCCGGGCCUUGUACACACCGCCCGUCACACCAUGGGAGUGGGCUGCAAAAGAAGUAGGUAGUUUAACCUUCGGGGGGACGCUUACCACUUUGUGGUUCAUGACUGGGGUGAAGUCGUAACAAGGUAGCGCUAGGGGAACC